GUGCUCUUCCGAUUACGAGCGGCGCCGGCCACACGACACGGACAAUUGUCACUUAAUUAUAAUAUUAACUCGAUUAAUUAGUAAACAAACAUGUGUCUGGAUGUGGACAACUGUUGCUGCUGCUUCAGCCUCGAGCUGGGAACCAAGAUCAUCGGCAUAGUGUACACAGCGCUGUCAGUAUGCGCGGUGCUGAUCUAUGCGCCCCUCGCCGUGAUGAGCGAGUCCCUCCCGCAGACCCGGCUCAUCUUCUACGCGACCCUGGCUGUACUGGCCGUGGUGGAGAUAUUUAUAGGCAGCCUGCUUAUACAUGGCGCUUUUAAGGUAAGGAAUUUAUGA